GAGUGUGCAUGUGUCAGAAAGAGGCCUAUAUCAACUUUUAUGUUUUUGCGUAUGGAUUUUUAAUAUAUAUUAUUUUGUAUAAUGCAUACUUGCUCAACAACAUUUGCUUGUAGACUAAAAAAACUGUUUUCUAUAUUUUUAAAAGAGAAAAUAUUUAGUCUAGAAUAUAACAUGUACAUAUGUAUUGACUAUAUAUAGAAAUUGGGUGUUAUUUUAAAAUG
rnacentral:lncRNA from 1 species